rnacentral:rRNA from 1 species
ACGGAAGGCAGCAGUGAGGAAUAUUGGUCGAUGGGCGGAAGCCUGAACCAGCCAAGUCGUGUGAAGGAUGAAGGUAUUAUGUAUUGUAAACUUCUUUAGCAGUGGAGUAAUAAGGGGAUCGUGAUCCCUGAUGCAAGUACACUGAAAAUAAGGAUCGGCUAACUCCGUGCCAGCAGCCGCGGUAAUACGGAGGAUCCGAGCGUUAUCCGGAUUUAUUGGGUUUAAAGGGUGCGCAGGCGGCCCUGUAAGUCAGCGGUUAAAUCGUGGAGCUCAACUCCAUCCCGCCGUUGAUACUGCAGGGCUUGAUUGCGGUCGAGGUUGGCGGAGUUCGUCGUGUAGCGGUGAAAUGCAUAGAUAUGACGAAGAACACCGAUUGCGUAGGCAGCUGACCAGGCCGUAAAUGACGCUCAUGCACGAAAGUGCGGGGAUCGAACAGGAUUAGAUACCCUGGUA